AUACGUAGGGGGCGAGCGUUGUCCGGAAUGAUUGGGCGUAAAGGGCGCGUAGGCGGCCCGGUAAGUCUGGAGUGAAAGUCCUGUUUUUAAGAUGGGAAUUGCUUUGGAUACUGUCGGGCUUGAGUGCAGGAGAGGUAAGUGGAAUUCCCAGUGUAGCGGUGAAAUGCGUAGAGAUUGGGAGGAACACCAGUGGCGAAGGCGACUUACUGGACUGUAACUGACGCUGAGGCGCGAAAGUGUGGGGAGCAAACAGGAUUAGAUACCCUGGUAGUCCACGCUGUAAACGAUCAAUACUAGGUGUGCGGGGACUGACCCCCUGCGUGCCGCAGUUAACACAAUAAGUAUUGCACCUGGGGAGUACGAGCGCAAGGUUGAAACUCAAAGGAAUUGACGGGG
rnacentral:rRNA from 1 species